AGUUAUUAGUCUUGGACUCAACAUAUAUAUUUUUAUUUUUCUCCCUUCGCCUUUUUUUCUUUAAAGUCCACACUUUAUUUGCGCUUUGUGCUUGAAGCCCCAAUAGACCUUAGAGCUUUUUUGCACUUUUCGCUUUUGACUUCACUUUAUCCUUGCAAAAUUGAGGAAACUCAUUCACUUCCAAACCCCCACCCUCCUCCUCGACUACUUUUACGUAAGCAUUAUAUGGUGAUAUCUCGAUUUGGAGGCAAAAUGGAAUGGUUAAAGAGGACUUAUAGAGCUCGUUUGGAUUAGCCAAUAAGUUUUUAAGUGUGGAAACUGUUUUUGUAAACAAGUCGUUAUGUAUUAAGAUAGAAUCAAUAAUAAUCAGUUGACGUGUUUGGUAAAAAAAUGCUUAUAGGUUACUUUUUAUUUGAACCCUUAAUUUUUUGACAAAAAAAAUACAAAGUUAAUAGUAUCUUUAUAAAGAAAAGAGAAAACACGGAUAUAGAAUGAAUAUGAAGUUGGAUCUUUUAUUUUGAUAAAGAUAUUUUGAGAAUUAAGAAGAUAUUUAGGAUAAAAUUGUGAAACUCUUUUGUCAAACUAGAGAUACUUAUAAGGUGAAAAGCCAUAAGUCACGGGUGACCAACUUAUGACUUUUGGCUGAUUUUAGCCUAUAAGCAUUCAACUUAUAAGCACUUUGAGGGUUUACGAGACGUGUAAAUUAGCUAAAAAGUGCUUAUAAGCCAGCCUAUAAGCUUAGCGAAACACCCUCAUAGUAAUUUAUUGGUUGAUUUAUAUCCAAAAUGCUAUUGCGAGAAAUUUCCAAAAGUUUGUUUAUUAAGAUGCCAAGGAAUUAAGGGAUAACAAAUGUGAGUUAAAAGUUUUCACCUCUGUCUACUGCUCUUCCAUUAGAGUUAUGUGAUGGAUUCUUGGAUAUGAAGCACGGUAGAAAUUUCUUUUAGAUUUUCUUGUUUUAGGUACCCAAAAGAGCCCCAAGUUGUUUCUCUCGAUCCAGGCCUUCCUCUUAAGAAUUUUCCAUGCUAGUUGAAGUUGAGCUGCCCUGUUACAACAUUUGCUUGGGUUUUCAAAAGAAUAAUCUAUUUAGUACUUUAUCAAUCCUUACAAAAAUAGAACCUACUUGAAAUCUAUUUUGAAAUUUAUCAAUAUAUUCUUGAUACUUCAACAAAUUUCAUCUUAAUUUGGAAACGUAAUUAUGACUUUAAAGACAACUUCUAAACUAAGGGACAUGAAUCCAGUCUUCAUAAAUAUGCUUACAACGACCUAUUUUCUCUGGUCGUUAAAUCCAUUUUUUGCUCAACAUUAUUGACGAGAUAAUAUCCCGUCCUUAAAAAGUAAAAUAACCGGUUGUUAAAAAUUAAUUAAUCUAUAAAAAAGAGAUGCUACUAUUUCCUUCCUUUCUUUUUCUCCAACCCACCCCUCCAAAAGAAACCUUUAGGCUUUAAUAGAAACACACCCCCUGUUUAAAAGAACUAGUCAUCUGCUCCGUCCCAACAUGUUCAUCUGUAAUUGUUAUCAAAAGUAUCACCUUAGUUGGCAUCCAUUGUUCAUAUCAGAGUUUCUUCUCAAGAUAAGGUUAGAAACUUACCCUUUUUGUAUGUUAAUUUUGGUUCAGUUAAUAGGGUUAUGAUUGCACUUGUAAGUAUAUGGAUGUUGGUUUUUUCUUUCAUGAUGGUUGAUCAAGAAUUUGCGUCAUUAUCUAUUACAAUUUUUCCUAAUAUGGAUUUAAGAAUUUUUAAAUUUUCUUAAUCUGAGCUAACGAAACAAAAAAUUAUGGCAUGGUCGAUUUCAAUGUGCAAUCCCCAUAUAAUCAUCUUUAUUUAUUCCACUGCUUUCGAUUUGUGUUAUUCUUUUGCUUUCUCCUUCACAAUGACCAGGAGGAAGGCCAUCCCAUAAAAAGAGCAAGGAAGAAAGUUUUAAACUAUUCCUCUCUUUAAGAAAUAACAAUUGCAGAAUAAUUUUCCUGUUCCUAAACCAAUUUGAGUACGAAUUGCAGUUAUCGCCUCUAUCAACAUUGGAGUCAUCAUUCAAUUCUUUUAAUGUGAAGAAACUUGAUGCCGCUUUUGCUGUAGAUCCUCUUUAUCAUCAGACAUCAGCUUAGUUGAUGAAGGUGGUGCAAAGGAUUGCCGUGUCCUUUUUGGUUCAUUUGAGAUACCCUGGGAAGUCUGUACCAGAAGCAAUUCCACAUGAUAGAUCAGAGUCUAUUGUUAUAUGUGUUGCUAAAGGCCUUCUCUGUUAGUAUAGAUUGUGUUGAAGAAAUGAUGUUGAAUAUGCCCAAGAAGGAUUAGACAUUGCCCCGUCUGAGGCAUAUAUUUGUCAAUUUGGUGGAGAGAUGCCGGUGCCAGCUGAAACAGAUUUCACCAGAACAAACUUUGAGUUGUUCAGCCUGACCGAUGGAUCAUGAUGAUGAUGGAAGAAGUUUGUCAGAUCAAGGCUCUCACAGUGUUGAUCAAAUUCUUCAAACCAACAGGAGAUGGAAAACACUUUACUUUUUGUUUCCUUCAACACUAAUUUGAAAUUGACGCCCUUGAAAACAGAUGAACUGAAAUUUUGUACUUUUUUUUGUUUGGUUUCCCACCCGGUGUCCGGCACCCACAUUGGAGCCCGACUAAAUCCGGAUUCGCGCCGGGAAGUCCCACAUUGGGGGGGCAUGACAGUGAACCAUUUACUUUUCCCGAUGCUGAGGAUUAUGACAGAUCUGAUGAUUACUUGUUUUGUAGUCCAGGAUUUUCUUCACAUUUCCUGGGCUGGUCCUUAUCAUUGGAAGCAUCAGAAGGUGAAAAGUAAGCUUCCAUAGGAAUACCAGAAGGAAUUGUAACUUUUCCAAUCCUCCUCUCUCCAGUCAUGGGAGAAAUCUACAGCAGUUUAAAGUUUCUUUGGUGUUUAAUAUCUCAUGAAAAUUCUCAGUCUUAGAGGAGCCUUGAUAUGAAGAUGGAUCACCAGUAAAAUCUUAGAAAACAAAGAGUGGAGAAGCAGAAUCUGAAAUUGCUUUCACCAAAGCUUUCGACAUUGAUCUAUCACAUGGCUUUGCUCCUCCAAAGAAUCCCAUGUUAGUACUAUUUCCAGAAAAUAGAACACUAUGUAACAGGUUACUUCCAGAAGAUUGUCAUUAUCAACCUAAAAUCUUGUGAAGCUGUUUCUUUGAGCCAAUGUCACGGUAACUCUAGUCACCUUGACUAGUCUGUUAUGUGCUGACUACCUUAGAAAAAUAUUAUGAUUGCUUGUAUUCUUUUGCCUAAGUGCCUUGGAAGGAGAGGAAAGCAAAUCCCAGGUUAGAUAACUUUUAUGGCCAUCCGCCCCAAGAGGUUUGUUGGAGGCAUCUAUCGAGAGCGUUAUGGUUGAAGGAGGGGGACUUUAAUACUAAAUUCUUUCACAGGGAAGCAGUAGCAAAUAGAAGCCAUGUGGGAAAGGGGGAAGUAGUAGAGGGGGCAGUUGUAGAUUAUUAUGAAAAAUUGUUUAAAAGAAAAAGUGGAGUGGAGGCCUACUAUGGGGGGUUUAGGGUUCAGUCUAAUCGGACGGGAGGUGAAUGGUUGGAGAGGGCAAUCGAGGAGAAGGAGGGGAAAAGAGUGGCGGAGUGUUGAGCAUGUGACGAAGCUCGACCCCAAAUGGUUUCUCUUUGGCUUUUUUUUAGCAUUGCUGGAAUACAGUAAAAACAAAUGUGAUGAAUUCUAUUGCUGAGUUCCAACAUAGUAGUGAAUUUGAAUAGAGUUUGAAUGCCUCGUUCAUUGUUAUCAUCCCUAAAUGGGAGUGAGCUACGAGCGCAGUGGAUUAUAAGACUUAAGAAGGUGUUGGCUGAAGUCGUUUCUACUUCACAAAAUGCUUUUGUGGAGGGCAAACGGAUUUUGUAUGCAGCGUUGGUGGCAAACAAAGUGAUGGAUUCAAAGAUAAAGCAGGGAGUACCUGGUGUGUUGUGCAAACUUGAUCUUGAAAAGGCAUGCGAUCAUGUGAAUCGGAAAUUCCAGGAUUGAAGAUCUUCCUGCUAUACUCUCCACAAUUGUAAUUAGGAACCUGUAAUUUGUUGUGGCAGGUUCUGGUUUUUUGCUUUGGAAUAGAAUACAAGUUGUUACCUUCUCAAAAAAAAUUCCAGGAUUCCAUUAUGCUUCAAAUGUGAUUUGGGGAGAAGCGAAGGAAAUGAAUCUACUUUUGUGUUUCUUUGGUGAGAUUUUGGAGCUAUGCCAGCUUGGGAUGAUGAUAGUGGAUUUCCUGGGACCUUUUAUGAAUUGAUGGCAAUGCAUUUAGUGAUGUUGGGAAGUUAAGUACACUUGUCUCUCAACCUCGCCAGGCUGAAAAUGGAAGAAAUGAUACCUCGGAUCAUGUCUGUCACUGGAAAUGUCGAAUUUGCACGUUGCUUGCUUGAUGGGAACUCAUAUCCCACAGGAAAAAUUCUUCUUUGUACAGUAGCUAUGAGAAAAUUAGUUUGUCUCUCUCUAGAAUCUGCUAGAUGAAGACCUUCUUUUGACCGCAUCGAAGCCUUUAGUUUUCCUUGCCUGAUUCUAUUAAGGUACACAAGAUUGAAUUCCAGUAUGAUAAAACAUCCAAACAAGUAGAUGUUCAAGUGCUUAAGGAAACACUUGGGGACCAAUUGAAUCAAACGUCAGUGAAGGCCAACUUAAACAGUGAGUCAAAUGGAGGUAAAUCUACCUAAGGUCAGAUCAGGAGCACUACAAAGAUACGUAUUGCUUGGACAAAGGGUGAGCACAGAGUUUGAGACAGAAAGAUUGGGCUGCUUCUUUGUUCUGGCAUGGUUGGAGUUGCGAGAACGUUCAUCACGAAGGUUAGAGUUGCCAAUGCAUCUGCGAACUUAUUUUUUUCUCAGUAGUGGAGAAAAAACUUAUUUUUUUGUUGAAAAGGCGCUUACUAUACAUGGCGACACAAGUAUGCCAGUAAGACCAGUUUCGAUAUCCUUAUUAUGCAAUCGAGACAGAGAUCUCAAACAUCGUAGACAAAGUAUUUUUCUUAUAUUAUAUGAGGGGGGGGGGGGGGGAUAUGUUGUGUUCUU